ensembl:lncRNA
GCUAGGAGACAUUAGAUGGUUCUGGGUGGUUGCUAUGUAGUUCUUAGGGGGUUUGGGGUGGUUACUAGGGUGUUGCUAGGAGUCAUUAGAGGGUUCUGGGUGGUUCCUAUGUAGUUCUUAGGGGAUUUGGGGUGGUUACUAGGGUGUUGCUAGGAGACAUUAGAUGGUUCUGGGUGGUUGCUAUGUAGUUCUUAGGGGGUUCGGGGUGGUUACUAGGGUGUUGCUAGGAGUCAUUAGAGGGUUCUGGGUGGAUUCUUCUUGUUAGGGGAUUCGGGGUGGUUACUAGGGUGUUGCUAGGAGUCAUUAGAGGGUUUUGGGUGGUUGCUAGGUAGUUCUUAGGGGAUUCAAGGUGGUUACUAGGGUGUUGCUAGGAGUCAUUAGAGGGUUCUGGGUGGAUUCUUCUUGUUAGGGGUUUGGGGUGGUUACUAGGGUGUUGCUAGGAGACAUUAGAUGGUUCUGGGUGGUUGCUAUGUAGUUCUUAGGGGGUUUGGGGUGGUUACUAGGGUGUUGCUAGGAGACAUUAGAUGGUUCUGGGUGGUUGCUAUGUAGUUCUUAGGGGGUUCUGGGUGGUUACUAGGGUGUUGCUAGGAGUCAUUAGAGGGUUCUGGGGGGUUGCUAUGUAGUUCUUAAGGGAUUCGGGGUGGUAAUUAGGGUGUUGCUAGGGGUCAUUAGAGGGUUCUGGGUGGUUGCUAUGUAGUUCUUAGGGGGUUCUGGGUGGUUACUAGGGUGUUGCUAGAAGUCAUUAGAUGGUUCUGGGUGGAUUUUUGUUGUUAGCGGUUCGGGGUGGUUACUAGGGUGUUGCUUGGGGUCAUUAGAGGGUUCUGCGUAGUUGCUAGGUAGCUGUUAGGGAGUUCUAGGUACUUCACCCCUCACAACACUCUUAUCUUCAGGUCUGUAGAUGUGGCUCGGUUCCCUCCUUCAAAGUAAGCCUGUGAGAUUUUUUUAAACCCAUUUUUUUUUUGUCCAGCAGGUGAAAAUAUUUAGGGUCACUUAUAAGUACUAAUGCUUAGUGUUUUGAACAAACUCCUAGCACUGAGCACUAGUAACAGUGAUGCUUGACUUAAAAAAAAAAAAGUAAUAACACGAUCAUCAUUUCCAGCAUGAGUUGAUCAUCUGUAAUACCUGCCGUCCCACCCAGUCUAACAGACACAAAAGAUCUGCUCAUUCCUUCUUCUGCUUCAUGUGUUCAGAACAAAUAGUGAUCAGCUGCUAAACACGUCACGUUUGCUUUCUACGCAGGCAGGAAGCAGUGAUGUGAAACUGCCACCAUGCCAUUUUAUGGAUUGACGUAAUAAAGCACAAACAUUCUGACAUGAUCAUCUAACAUGUUUCAUGGAAGAAAGAAAUUAAUAUGGUUUGGAGUGACACGUUGAAAUAAAAAAAAUCAUAAUGAUGACAAAACCAG